AGAUAAAGAGAGAUCAGAAAUACAAGAGGCAGAGGAAGCAAGGUUGAAGAGGAUUAGGGAAUACAAGUCACAGCAUGGACUUAUCAGAAAAACAUUUGCCCGAAUGUAUUGGUUGAAUUUCUAAGUGUCAUUUUAAUUUUUAUUUUUGUAAUUGCAAUGCUGCAAUCCUGCAAACAGUUACUCGCUAUGUAAUAAUUUUUAAAUGAUUUUAUAAUUAGACUUUUAUUUAAUUUUGUUUAGUUUCACUAGUUAGUAGUUCUUCAUUAACUCCAUUUGUUGAUAGUCCCCACAGACUCAAUCUCUCCAUCAUCUCUCCUCAUAACUGGCAAC